AAGACAUUUGGAAGCUCCAAAACUUUGGGAUUUAGUUAUAAAAGCUCAGAAUUUCAAAAAAGAUGUUCUUAAAGUUUGGAGAAGUUUAUUUCUCUCAAAAUCAUCUAUUGCAGUGUUUCAGGAUUCUUUUUGGUGGUGGUUUCUUCAAAAGUUUAAGCCCAACCAAGAAGAACAAGACCAUUUAUUUGACAGAAUUGCAGACAGUUUUGUGGCACUUUUUCUUGUUGUUCCCAGGGAUACUAAAGAUGCUUUUUUUCAGGUAUAUCCUGAUUGUUUGUCACAAGUCAUUUAUGUGGCUUUCUGUGAAGCAUUCCCAGAAUCCAUUAAAUGUUUUGAUGAUGAUUUUAAGGAUGAAUUAGUAGAUUUAA